AAAACCAUGUCCCCCCUUUUGCUCCAGUCCCCAUGGGGGGCUCAGGCCCCAGCAGUGUCCCCGGGCUGGGGUGGUGUGGACAGAAGGUGCCUUCUACAAGUGUUAAUGAAGUCACCCUUCCCGGAGCUCUGCGCGGGGAGGAGGGGAAGCCGAGGAUGUCCGAAUUCCCAGGAGGAAUCUCCACCAGGGCAGGACAGCGGGCAGCAGAGCCACCCACAGCCCUGGGCCUGGGGGCUGCUCUGGGUUUGUACACGUGGGCGUCGUGUUCAUCCGGAAAAGCUCAAACAGCUGCCAAGAGCUGCACCGAUACUUGGAAAAUUAGAAUACAACACAGCAAAAAUUAGAGUAAAAAUCACUUUCCUCCAUUAAAAGAGUAGGGGAGAAAGGUAAACUGAGGCACAGAGCUGUGACACGAAGAUCUUACAGCCUGAGAGCUGAAAACAAGUGGCACACACCAGACAGUUCCACCCAGCUGCAGACUAAAUGUCUUUGCUAGGUGACUUUAAAGCUAAUGGCAUGUGACAUGUGGAGAUCAGGCUGCUGAGCACGGCAGGACACGCAGAGAUAAGGAUCGUUUGUGAAAAGCAAAGCUCGGGAGGGGCCCGGGUCCCCCAGCAGAAAUGCGACUUCGGCUGGGAAGGGCGGGACAGCACAGGGAGGUCACGGCGCUGCCACCGUGCAAAGCUGGCCUGGCUGCUCAGGAAGGAAAAACAGGACCAGCGUGUCUAGACAGGGGCUGGGCUGGCUGAGGAAAACAAGAUUUAGACAUUGAAAAAGUCAUUAUUUCAAGAUGAAACUACAGAUUUCUAUCUCGGCUCUCAUUUUCUCCGAGCGCGUGGCUGCGCCGAGCUGACAACGCUGCGGAUUUGUGCAGGCCCUGGGAGCAAUUUGCUUAAUAAAAGAGUGUGGAUUUGACAGGCCA
rnacentral:lncRNA from 12 species